rnacentral:rRNA from 1 species
AGUCUGAUGGAGCAACGCGGCGUGAGUGAUGAAGGGUUUCGGCUCGUAAAACUCUGUUGUUGGAGAAGAACAGGUAUCAGAGUAACUGUUGACAUCUUGACGGUAUCCAACCAGAAAGCCACGGCUAACUACGUGCCAGCAGCCGCGGUAAUACGUAGGUGGCAAGCGUUGUCCGGAUUUAUUGGGCGUAAAGCGAGCGCAGGCGGUUUUUUAGGUCUGAUGUGAAAGCCUUCGGCUUAACCGGAGAAGUGCAUCGGAAACCGGGAGACUUGAGUGCAGAAGAGGACAGUGGAACUCCAUGUGUAGCGGUGAAAUGCGUAGAUAUAUGGAAGAACACCAGUGGCGAAGGCGGCUGUCUGGUCUGUAACUGACGCUGAGGCUCGAAAGCAUGGGUAGCGAACAGGAUUAGAUACCCUGGUAGUCCAUGCCGUAAACGAUGAGUGCUAAGUGUUGGAGGGUUUCCGCCCUUCAGUGCUGCAGCUAACGCAUUAAGCACUCCGCCUGGGGAGUACGACCGCAAGGUUGAAACUCAAAGGAAUUGACGGGGGCCCGCACAAGCGGUGGAGCAUGUGGUUUAAUUCGAUGCUACGCGAAGAACCUUACCAGGUCUUGACAUCUUCUGCCAACCUAAGAGAUUAGGCGUUCCCUUCGGUGACAGAAUGACAGGUGGUGCAUGGUUGUCGUCAGCUC